rnacentral:rRNA from 1 species
UACGUAGGGUCCGAGCGUUGUCCGGAAUUACUGGGCGUAAGGAGCUCGUAGGUGGUUUGUCGCGUUGUUCGUGAAAACUCACAGCUCAACUGUGGGCGUGCGGGCGAUACGGGCAGACUUGAGUACUGCAGGGGAGACUGGAAUUCCUGGUGUAGCGGUGGAAUGCGCAGAUAUCAGGAGGAACACCGGUGGCGAAGGCGGGUCUCUGGGCAGUAACUGACGCUGAGGAGCGAAAGCGUGGGGAGCGAACAGG